GAUGAACGCUGACAGAAUGCUUAACACAUGCAAGUCUUUGGCGAAUCUGUGCUUGCACAGGCUAGCCAAGGCGGACGGGUGAGUAACGCGUAAAGAACUUGCCCUGCAGACAGGGAUAACAGACGGAAACGACUGAUAACACCUGAUACAGUUGCCGGCACGCAUGUGCCUGGCAAUGAAAAGAGAUGCUGCAGGAGAGUUUUGCGUCCUAUUAGCUUGUUGGUGAGGUGACGGCUCACCAAGGCGAUGAUAGGUAGCCGGCCUGAGAGGGUGAACGGCCACAAGGGGACUGAGAUACGGCCCUUACUCCUACGGGAGGCAGCAGUGGGGAAUAUUGGACAAUGGGGGCAACCCUGAUCCAGCAAUUCUGUGUGCACGAAGAAGGUUUUCGGAUUGUAAAGUGCUUUCAGCAGGGAAGAAGAAAGUGACGGUACCUGCAGAAGAAGCGACGGCUAAAUACGUG
rnacentral:rRNA from 1 species